AAAAAAAAUAUUAUUUUGUUUUACAUCUGCAGUAUAUACUAAUGUUUUUAUACAUUGAUUUUUUUUUAUCCAAAUACCAUACUAGUCAUAUCAAAAUCUGUCCUCUUGGGUGAUUUUUAGUUUUAUAAUUUAUUGAUCUAUUGCAUUGUUUCAAAUGCACUACCAGUAUUUUUCUCAACAUGUAAUAUUACAUGUUUGCUGGGUUUUUUUUGUAUUUUACCUAUAAAACUACUGCCCUUUUAUUAGUUAUCAAGCUUUAAAAUUGAACACAUUGUAUAAUGUGAAUGAUUAAAACAGGAAAAAUUGUUAUUGAGGAUUUUUAUAAGUUCUAGAACAAUAAAAAAAAUUAGAAAUUCCUUUAUUUUGAAUAAACAUAAUUCAUUUUUUAUUAAUUUAAAAAAAAAAAUAUUUGAUCUUCAUUCUGUUUAAUACAUAUUGAUCAUAAUUCAAAUAGUUUCCACUGAAUGCCAACUACAGUUUUAUCAUGAUCUUUUAAUUUAAGAUACAUGUAAUAUUGCUGACUAAUUUGUUUAUAUUACAGCCAAUUGUUUCUGUUUUUGUUCUGAUAUUAUAUAAUUACCAAUGUUCAAUUAUAUUCCUGUUCACUUUUGAAAGCUACACAGACUGUUUUUCAGAUGGUUUUCGGUCUUCCAUACCUUAUACCAUCUCUGAAUAAAUUUGGUUUAACUGUU
rnacentral:sRNA from 1 species